AUCCUCCUGCUGCUUACCACAGGCUGUGUUUUCACACUGACUGUACAGAAAGAGGAGGCAGAACAAACCUGCCCCAUCCAUACCACAGCCCAGGCCAUGGUGCCUGGUCUGUAUUAUGAACAGGGAGACAUGG
ensembl:snoRNA